ACGCUCGACACCUACGGGAGGCAGCAGUGAGGAAUAUUGGUCAAUGGGCGCUAGCCUGAACCAGCCAAGUAGCGUGAAGGAUGAAGGCUCUAUGGGUCGUAAACUUCUUUUAUAUAAGAAUAAAGUGCAGUAUGUAUACUGUUUUGUAUGUAUUAUAUGAAUAAGGAUCGGCUAACUCCGUGACAGCAGCCGCGGUAAUCUGAGCGGGCUGGCAAGGC
rnacentral:rRNA from 1 species